rnacentral:lncRNA from 1 species
UUAGGGAAUGUAUAUAUUGUCUCUCAAACUAUGAUGUAAUGGAUAGUGGAUGGUAAGAUACCUUUUGCGGGCAUGUUGGGCAGUCUUAGCAUGGCUACUGACUAGUGGGCGGUGAGAAAGGUGGUGGAAAGAAAGAAAGAUGUGAUCAUUCCAAAGCUCAUAUUAAAAAGAAAAGGAAGCCAACUUUCCCUCGGGAUAGCUUCCUCCUUUUCUGCAUUCCUGCAUUGCAUGUGUCGUUCCAAUAGGUUCAAAAUUUAUUAUUACUUACACCAACAAAAAAAAGCCUCACGUCCACACUUCAUAGUUUUCACCAUGACAGGCC